rnacentral:rRNA from 1 species
UGAAGGCGGGGGAACGGGGGAGGAAAAUCCCAAAGGAAUUUGGCCUGGGAAGGGGGGAUAAAGGUUUGGAANGGANGGUAAUACCGCAAAAGGUCNUAACGGAGGAAAGCAGGGGACCUUUGGGGCCCUGGGGGGUAUUAGGAAGAGGCNUAGGGUUCGGAANUAGGCUAGUUGGGGUGAGGGUAAUGGGGCUCACCCAAGGNGGAACGAAUCCCGUAAGGUGGUGGGGAGGAGGAGGUAUCUGUUAUUCAUUGGAACUGAGACACGGUCCAGACUCCUACGGGAGGCAGCAGUGGGGAAUAUUGGACAAUGGGCGAAAGCCUGAUCCAGCCAUGCCGCGUGUGUGAAGAAGGUCUUCGGAUUGUAAAGCACUUUAAGUUGGGAGGAAGGGCAUUAACCUAAUACGUUAGUGUUUUGACGUUACCGACAGAAUAAGCACCGGCUAACUCUGUGCCAGCAGCCGCGGUAAUACAGAGGGUGAACAAAGACGUUAAUCGGAAUUACUGGGCGUAAAGCGCGCGUAGGUGGUUUGUUAAGUUGGAUGUGAAAUCCCCGGGCUCAACCUGGGAACUGCAUUCUAAAACUGACUGACUAGAGUAUGGUAGAGGGUGGUGGAAUUUCCUGUGUAGCGGUGAAAUGCGUAGAUAUAGGAAGGAACACCAGUGGCGAAGGCGACCACCUGGACUAAUACUGACACUGAGGUGCGAAAGCGUGGGGAGCAAACAGGAUUAGAUACCCUGAAUAGUCCACGCCGUAAACGAUGUCAACUAGCCGUUGGAUAGCCUUGAGCUCCUUUAGUGGCGCAGCUAACGCAUUCAAGUU